rnacentral:rRNA from 1 species
UACGUAGGGACCGAGCGUUGUCCGGAUUCAUUGGGCGUAAAGAGCUCGUAGGCGGCUGCUCAAGUCGAAUGUGAAAACUCGAGGCUCAACCUCGAGCCUGCAUUCGAUACUGGGCGGCUAGAGUCUGGUAGGGGGAUCUGGAAUUCCUGGUUGUAGCGGUGGAAUGCGCAGAUAUCAGGAGGAACACCGGUGGCGAAGGCGGGAUCCUGGGCCAGUACUGACGCUGAGGAGCGAAAGCAUGGGGGAGCGAACAGG